rnacentral:rRNA from 1 species
AGUGAACGCUGGCGGUAGGCCUAACACAUGCAAGUCGAACGGCAGCACAGUAAGAGCUUGCUCUUACGGGUGGCGAGUGGCGGACGGGUGAGGAAUACAUCGGAAUCUACUUUUUCGUGGGGGAUAACGUAGGGAAACUUACGCUAAUACCGCAUACGACCUACGGGUGAAAGCAGGGGAUCUUCGGACCUUGCGCGAUUGAAUGAGCCGAUGUCGGAUUAGCUAGUUGGCGGGGUAAAGGCCCACCAAGGCGACGAUCCGUAGCUGGUCUGAGAGGAUGAUCAGCCACACUGGAACUGAGACACGGUCCAGACUCCUACGGGAGGCAGCAGUGGGGAAUAUUGGAAAAUGGGCGCAAGCAUGAUCCAGCCAUACCGCGUGGGUGAAGAAGGCCUUCGGGUUGUAAAGCCCUUUUGUUGGGAAAGAAAAGCAGCAGGUUAAUACCCCGCUGUUCUGACGGUACCCAAAGAAUAAGCACCGGCUAACUUCGUG